rnacentral:misc_RNA from 1 species
AGUUUUGGAUACAGUGGAUCCAUAAUUCGGUGAGUUAAAAAAUAGCUUCGCUAACAGAAAAUUGGAUAUUGAAGAAGUUAUGAUUUCAAUUCGUAUGCUCAGACCUAAUGGUUUUGAUUUCUACCAGAUAUCCUGAUGAUCGGUUUGAUCGGUUUUGGGAGCCAUUUGGGGACAAAGAUCCCACCACAUCGGAAAACAAAAAUCUAUCCAUUUCCGGUAUCUGGAAUCUUCCUCCGUCGAAGGUAUUUGAAACGGAGUUGACAGCAAGUCAAUCUGGUCCCCUGGAGUUGAGGUGGCCUCUGGCUCCCCUUCAGAAUUCCAUGUACUACAUUGCUUUAUACUUUGCAGAUGAUCGUAAUUCAUCUUUUGGGCCUUCAAGAGGGUUCAAUGUCAGCAUAAAUGGGAUAACAUAUUACAAAAAUUUUAGCUUGACACAAACAGGCGCUGCUAUCUUUGCAACGCAGUGGCCCCUUGGCG